rnacentral:rRNA from 1 species
GAUGAACGCUAGCUACAGGCUUAACACAUGCAAGUCGAGGGGCAGCGGGGAUCUAGCUUGCUAGAUUUGCCGGCGACCGGCGCACGGGUGAGUAACGAGUAUCCAACCUGCCCUUCUCAUUGGGAUAGCCUUUCGAAAGAGAGAUUAAUACCGAAUAACAUAGUUUGAUUGCCUGAUUAUACUAUGAAAGCUCCGGCGGAGAAGGAGGGGGAUGCGUUCCAUUAGGUAGUAGGCGGGGUAACGGCCCACCUAGCCCACGAUGGAUAGGGGUUCUGGGAGGAAGGUCCCCCACACUGGAACUGAGACACGGUCCAGACUCCUACGGGAGGCAGCAGUGAGGAAUAUUGGUCAAUGGACGCAAGUCUGAACCAGCCAAGUAGCGUGAAGGAUGACUGCCCUAUGGGUUGUAAACUUCUUUUGCCGUAGAACAAAACAUGCCACGUGUGGCAUUUUGCGUGUAUACGUUGAAUAAGCAUCGGCUAACUCCGUGCCAGCCGCCGCCGUAAUAC